UUUAUAUAGUUCCCACUGUAUUUUUAAUAUAUUUGUACAAAGCACCAUAACACUUUUGGUUUUUUAGGAAAUCACUUAAUUGGCGGCGGGAGGUAUCACUUUCUUCAAUAAUUUCAGUUGCCAACACUAGUCUAUGAAAGGUGAAUCUUGAACAGUUGAAAAAAAUGUGAUUCAUGUCGGCGUUCUCUUCGUUACAAAAAGUGCAAUUAUUGCUGCUUAUUAUGUUCAAUCUCGCAAGGUGUGCAGGUGCAGUGUUAUGACCAAAUCUGAGUCUGUUUAUUGUUGUGAUAAAGUCACGGUUCGCUAUCUUCAGCUCAUUGUACCAUGGAUUUGUCGGAAAAUCCGGCACAAAGUUGGGGACAGCCCAGUCAGAAGAUCAUGAGGUGAAGCUAAUGGACCAUCUGUGAUGAUUGGGUGAGAUCGUGGAUGAGAGAAAUGAAGCUGUCUGAACAACUUCGUCCUCUACGGAACCCAUACUGAAUUUGAGGAAUGAUGUUAUGAGAUUCUGCGUACCAAUCCAGGCGGUUCUUUAGCAUAUUUUCAAAUAUCUUACCAAUACAUGAUGAUAAAGAUAUUGGCCGAUAAGAACUGGCCUCCUCUGGUGGUUUAUCUUGUUUAAGUAUGGGUAUCACACAUUGAGUCUUCCAUGAGAUUGGUAUCAGUUUUUUAAGCCAAAGACAAUUUAAAAUACACAGUAAUAUUUUUUGGAUAGAUUCUGGUAGUUCUUUUAUUAAUAUAUACGGAAAAUCGUCCAAACCAGGGCUAGUAUUUUUUCUAGAUUUUAUACUUGUUAAAAAUUCUGACCAUGAGAAAGGAUCCAAUAGAAAUCCUGAUUGUGGAUUUUCACUGUUCAUAUUAAAAUAAGUUUCUAACGAAUCAGGAUUAACUAAAUUAGAAUUAUCUGAUAAUUUAUCUAACAAUGGUUGCACAAAAUCAUUUUGAUAUGACUUAUUAUUGGUUCUAAUACCCUUAAAUCUUUUAAUAAGGUUCCAGAUUUUACUUAUAGGAGUAGUUCUAUUGAAAUUAUUACAAAAACUGUUCCAACUUUUACGUUUUUCUUCCUUUAUGGUGCGUUUUUUAAGAGCAUCUAUUCUUUUGUACUUAAUGUAAUUGUCUAAUGUUGGAUCGUUUCUAUAAAGUUUAAGUGCUUCAUAUGAUUUAAUAACUGCUUGUUCACACGUACUAUUCCACCACGGAGCGGGUGGCCUACUCCUAAAAUUUGUUUUAGUAAAUCUAGGAACUUCCAUUAGUUUAAGUUCAUUAAGUCGGAUACAAAACUCAUCAUAAGAUUUCAUUGGAUCCUCUUCAUU